rnacentral:lncRNA from 1 species
CUCAUCUGGCCAACCAUCUUCAGCUGCCAAUGGACAAGUGUCUUCCUGGUACUGCACAUGAAGAUGUCCCGCUCUCCCCUGCUCAAGGAGAGAGUGCCUGACCUGAGCUGGGCCCAUCAGAUCCAGUACUUACCUGGAAUAGGAAAAAGAUGGGGAGAGUGACCAAAGACUACAAAAAUCUCUGAAGCUUAUCUACUUGAGAGAGAGUCCCUGAAGAUACUGGCCUCUCAUUCCUGCUAUGUAUAUCCAAUGUGACUGAACUCUGAAUAAAAUAUACAAGUUAUAACAAUGUAGCAAUUGACCCAGCAAACGAGGACACAAACGUGUUGAAGGGUGUCUACGGAGAAAUAGACAAGCGAUGCACGACAGAUACAUGUGUCAGUCUGGUCCCUGCAGUUGUAUUUGUAAUAAUACACAUUGGAGCAAUUUCAUGGCCAUCGGUUAGAGAAUGUUUGAGGAAUGAUCCUUUCAUAUCAAGAAGGACAUUUCAAAGAUCAAAACCUGAUGGAAAUGCUGGAGACCAUGGCGCUGAUAGGAGCUCAUGCGUGUUGUCCAAUUACUACGUGACAGGCAUUGGCUCCAUGCUUUUCCUGCACUGCUCAUUUAAACACUGGACAACCUAAGUGUUCUGAUUUAGCCCAUUGGACAGAUAGAAAUGGAGGCACAGAAGAUUAAUGUGUUUAACUUCAAACCCUGGCAGAUUAGGUUUUUCAUCCAGAGCCUGUGGCUUCACCA